CCCGUCCCCUUCCUCCAGCCUCCCCGCGAGGAGCGCCGCCAGCCGCCAGCCGCCCGCUCCUCUCCCAGCGGCCGCUCGCCUCCCCUCCCCUCCUUAACUCCGCGCCAUCAAGACCAGUGGAGAGCCGCCGCGCCCCCCUCCCUUCCCUUUUCCGUUUCUCCUCCCCCUUUCCCAGUAACGCCCGCACCACCAUGCGCCAUUCAUGGCCACCAUGGCCGGCCCGCACCCAAGCGCCGCGUCUCUUCCUCUGCCGGCGUUCCCCCUCCCUCUCGGCCUACAAAAGCCGCACUCAAGCCCCGACCGCUCCUCCUUUUCCACCUCCUCUCCUCGCCCCUGCUCCACAAGCUCUACAGAGCAGCGCCGCCACCACCAAGCUAGGGCCGCCGCCGUCAAUCCGCCACUCCGUCGCCUCCCCUUCGACUCCGACCGCCGCAGGAGCUUCGCGAGACGACGUGCCGUUCGAGGGAGAGCAAGAGCAAGUAUAUGAGGAAGAGAACCAGCAACUAAACGAGGAAGGCAAGUGGAUUUCCCCCUCUACAUGUUCCAUUUGAUCCCAAUAAUAGCAUGAUGAAACACUUUACUGUAUUGUUAUAUGCAUGAAAUUGAUGGAAAUCCUAUUAAGGACUUUACCUAGUCUUUUUACCUAAGUCUUGAAACACCGGGUUUUAUAUCUUGUUGGGUAGAAACGCUUAGUUGCUUUACCAUGGGUUGGUUAUGUUGCAAUCUUUGAAAAAUGUUAAACAUGAUUUUAUUCACUGUCAUAUCAUGGUUUUUGGACAAGAUCACUUUGUUUAAAUGAAACAUGGAGAACCACCCAAGAAAACUGUACAACCACAAUGUCAUAUGGCUCUGACCUUAACUGAUUAAUUAGGCGUGUAGUUAACUGGUAGCCUUACCGGAAGGGCAAGGAGGGGGUCGGUGAUGGGGUAUAGCCCAGUUCUCUUGGGGUAGUAGCCUUUGCUAAGGUACUGACCAUUAGGGAGGGUUAUGGUCCACACUGCUACUGAAACUCUAGCGGGCUAUCUAGUUUUCUGCAUGUCUAUGUAAAGGCUUCAUAGUGGACUCCUCGCCACUCACCAAAGGAAGUGUUUAAGGGCCUUGCAAACCCGGGCGACUCAGGGGGACACGAAUUGUGGGGAAAGUAUACAGACCCUCAUAUGAUAAUGGAACUUGAAGAAUAAUUAAAUUGUGGUUCUUGGUUUUGAAAUGUUGGAUCCUUUUUGCUUAUGCUUAAGUGGGUUGGUAUAAACUUACAUCUAGAUAAUAGAAGUUUGCUAAUAAAAUUUGACCAACUAAAAUGCUAACUGCAAUAAACCUUAGCUUGUUCUUGAUGGCCUUGCAUUUUCUUCCACUUGCUGAGUACCAACCAUAACAGUACUCACCCUUGUGUAAUUGCUGUUCAAAAGAGAACAAUGAGGUGGAUUACUGCAGCGACUUUGAGGAGUUCUAGGAGCGUUCACCAGUCGAGUUCCUGUGGGAAGCUUUGUUGAAGAUCUCGUUUAUAUUGUCGGUAAAACGUUAAGACCUUCGUGUCUAUUAUCGGAGCUCUUUUUACAUUGUUAAACAUUGUCUUUGAUAUAUUCAAUUAUGACGUCUUUUAUAUGUAUGAAACUUGAUCCUGGCA